rnacentral:lncRNA from 1 species
CUGCAAAUUCUUUGGCACUCCUCCCAUGAAGAGGUAAAGUCUAAUCACCUCCCCUUGAAUAUGAUUUGGACGUAAUGACUCAUUUCUAAUAGGAAUAAGGAGAGUUGUCUUAUGUUACUUCAAAAAAGAUUCCAAAUGAAAAAAAAAUCUGGGCUUAAGAAGAUCUAAUGCCAUGCCAUUGAAGCCAGGUUUCAGCACAGACCCAACAUGUGUAUAAGUAAUAAAAAGUAACCUGAGAAAACAGAAGCUCCUCAAGGUCCUUUGCCCUGGUGUAUCUUUAACUGUAAAGAGAAUACGCAUGUACUUGCAGACCCAGCAAAUGUCUUCUUCGCAUUUUAAGGAUGCACUCAUCGUUUCUUCAGAAGCAAUCCUGAAACCCAGUGUAGCAAAG